GCGCCGGCGCGCCUGAUUCAGCAUCUCCUAGAGGGAUGCCCUUCUUCUGCGCAGACGCGGUCCCUGUGGCUCCCAUGGGUAAUCCCCAUGACAUCUGCCGUGACAACCACGCCCAUUUGAGAGUGAGGAGCUGCCCCCUAUUCAGCUGUAUAUCAUCUCACUCUGAUUGAGGGCAGCAUAUUAGUGAGCCGCACAGCUGAUCAAUCAGCGUGAGCUCUGCCAGAGGAAUCAUUCCUCGGUAUACUGAGGCAACAGCAGGUCAUAGCAUUUGGACUAAACAGAUUUCUUGGGCAAUUUAUCUGCCUAAUUUCCGGCAGUUACUAUUGCAACUUUAAUCAGUACUGACAGAAAUUUCUUGGGAUGAUCCAUAUCAAUCUCUUUUGAGACUACUUCAUCAUCAAUCUUCCCAUUAUUCUUAUCAUUAUUUGAACCAGUACCUGCUUGCCUUCGGCUCCUCUUCCUCUAUAGGCUUGCAUCCAGGCUCUGUGCGGUGCAUGGUGAUCCUACCCGCAUGCAUAAGAGGAUCAUUUCCUCUUUUUCCCAUCCCUCCUUCCUUCCAUCUGGGAUUCUCCAUCUGGGAUUCUGAGCCAGUUACGGCUAACUAUUCAGGUUUUUCAGUCCAUUUUUUCAGACUACUGCCCCCCAUUGGUUCCUGACGAAGCCCCCUUGGGCGAAACUAGUAGAACCGUUACAUGCGGGAUGAAAUGAAGAUCACCUGCAUCUUUAUGCACUUGAAGUAUCAUUUUAUUUGUUAGUCUGGAAUUUGUCUAGUAUGCACUCUAUAGUAUUCAAUGUAUAUCUUUUUUCU